UACGUAGGGAGCAAGCGUUGUCCGGAAUUACUGGGCGUAAAGGGUGCGUAGGCGGUUGCUUAAGUCAGAUGUGAAAUACUCGAGCUCAACUCGGGGGCUGCAUCUGAUACUGGGUAACUAGAGUGCAGGAGAGGAAAGUGGAAUUCCUAGUGUAGCGGUGGAAUGCGUAGAUAUUAGGAGGAACACCAGUGGCGAAGGCGACUUUCUGGACUGUAACUGACGCUGAGGCACGAAAGUAUGGGUAGCAAACAGG
rnacentral:rRNA from 1 species